AGACCAAGGUUCCUGUCCAACGUUAAUCGGGGCAGGGUGAGUCGACCCCUAAGGCGAGGCCGAAAGGCGUAGUCGAUGGGAAACAGGUUAAUAUUCCUGUACUUGGUGUUACUGCGAAGGGGGACGGAGAAGGCUAUGUUAGCCGGGCGACGGUUGUCCCGGUUUAAGCAUGUAGGCGGAGAGUUUAGGUAAAUCCGGACUCUUAUUAACGCUGAGGUGUGAUGACGAGGCACUACGGUGCUGAAGUAACAAAUGCCCUGCUUCCAGGAAAAGCCUCUAAGCAUCAGGUAACAUCAAAUCGUACCCCAAACCGACACAGGUGGUCAGGUAGAGAAUACCAAGGCGCUUGAGAGAACUCGGGUGAAGGAACUAGGCAAAAUGGUGCCGUAACUUCGGGAGAAGGCACGCUGAUAUGUAGGUGAAGUGGUUUACUCAUGGAGCUGAAAUCAGUCGAAGAUACCAGCUGGCUGCAACUGUUUAUUAAAAACACAGCACUGUGCAAACACGAAAGUGGACGUAUACGGUGUGACGCCUGCCCGGUGCCGGAAGGUUAAUUGAUGGGGUUAGCGGCAACGCGAAGCUCUUGAUCGAAGCCCCGGUAAACGGCGGCCGUAACUAUAACGGUCCUAAGGUAGCGAAAUUCCUUGUCGGGUAAGUUCCGACCUGCACGAAUGGCGUAAUGAUGGCCAGGCUGUCUCCACCCGAGACUCAGUGAAAUUGAACUCGCUGUGAAGAUGCAGUGUACCCGCGGCAAGACGGAAAGACCCCGUGAACCUUUACUAUAGCUUGACACUGAACACUGGUCCUUGAUGUGUAGGAUAGGUGGGAGGCUUUGAAGUGUGGACGCCAGUCUGCAUGGAGCCAACCUUGAAAUACCACCCUUUAAUGGCUGGUGUUCUAACGUAGACCCGUAAUCCGGGUUGCGGACAGUGUCUGGUGGGUAGUUUGACUGGGGCGGUCUCCUCCUAAAGAGUAACGGAGGAGCACGAAGGUUAGCUAAUCCUGGUCGGACAUCAGGAGGUUAGUGCAAUGGCAUAAGCUAGCUUGACUGCGAGAGUGACGGCUCGAGCAGGUGCGAAAGCAGGUCAUAGUGAUCCGGUGGUUCUGAAUGGAAGGGCCAUCGCUCAACGGAUAAAAGGUACUCCGGGGAUAACAGGCUGAUACCGCCCAAGAGUUCAUAUCGACGGCGGUGUUUGGCACCUCGAUGUCGGCUCAUCACAUCCUGGGGCUGAAGUAGGUCCCAAGGGUAUGGCUGUUCGCCAUUUAAAGUGGUACGCGAGCUGGGUUUAGAACGUCGUGAGACAGUUCGGUCCCUAUCUGCCGUGGGCGCUGGAGAAUUGAGGGGGGCUGCUCCUAGUACGAGAGGACCGGAGUGGACGCAUCACUGGUGUUCGGGUUGUCAUGCCAAUGGCAUUGCCCGGUAGCUAAAUGCGGAAAAGAUAAGUGCUGAAAGCAUCUAAGCACGAAACUUGCCCCGAGAUGAGUUCUCCCUGACCCUUUAAGGGUCCUGAAGGAACGUUGAAGACGACGACGUUGAUAGGCUGGGUGUGUAAGCGUAGCGAUACGUUGAGCUAACCAGUACUAAUGAACCGUGAGGCUUAACCUU
rnacentral:rRNA from 1 species